CUACGGGCCGCUGCAGUGAGGAAUUUUGCGCAAUGGGGGAAACCCUGACGCAGCAACGCCGCGUGAGCGAAGAAGGCCCUCGGGUCGUAAAGCUCUGUCAAGGGGGAAAAAAAUUUUUUGAUCAAUAGUCAAAAGACUUGAUGGUACCACUGGAGGAAGCACCGGCUAACUCCGUGCCAGCAGCCGCGGUAAUACGGAGGGUGCAAGCGUUGUUCGGAUUUACUGGGCGUAAAGAGCGUGUAGGCGGUUUAGCAAGUCAGAUGUGAAAGCCCUGGGCUCAACCCGGGAAGUGCAUUUGAAACUGCUUCACUAGAGUAUGGGAGAGGAGAUUGGAAUUCCUGGUGUAGGGGUGAAAUUCGUAGAUAUCAGGAGGAACACCCGUGGCGAAGGCGAUUCUCUGGACCAAUACUGACGCUGAGACGCGAAAGCGUGGGGGGCAAACAGGAUUAGAUACCCCGGUAGUC
rnacentral:rRNA from 1 species